rnacentral:rRNA from 1 species
CGCAUCUGUGCAUGCAGCAUAUCAAUAAGCGAGGAAAAGACUGCGGAACUGAACGACCACUACCUACGCUUAGGAUGUUGAAGAUGUAGCACAUCAUACACGCAUGACACACUGCAUAUCAAUAAGCGGAGGAAAAGAGGGCUAUUACCUACGCUUAGGAUGUUGAAGAUGUAGCACAUCAUACACGCAUCUGUGCAUGCAGCAUAUCAAUAAGCGGAGGAAAAGAAACUAACAAGGAUCCCCUAGUAACGGCGAGUGAAGCGGGAAGAGCUCAAAUUUGAAAUCUUAAAGGGUUUCCCUUUACGAAUUGUAGUUUAAAGAAGUGUUUUCUGUUGAGGUUUUGGUAAAAGUUCUUUGGAAUAGGACAUCAUAGAGGGUGAGAAUCCCGUAUUUGACCUUUACUUUCAACUUUGUGAUACACUUUCAAAGAGUCGGAUUGUUUGGGAAUGCAGUCCAAAAUGGGUGGUAAAUUUCAUCUAAAGCUAAAUAUUGGCGAGAGACCGAUAGCGAACAAGUACCGUGAGGGAAAGAUGAAAAGAACUUUGAAAAGAGAGUUAAACAGUACGUGAAAUUGUCAAAAGGGAAGCGUUUGACACCAGUGUUGUUUUUCUGAAAAUCAAUUAAAGAACUGUUUAUGCUAAGUUGUUUAGACUUUAUCAGCUAUCUGCUUAGUUUUGAGCUUUUCUUUAAUGCACUUUUCAGUUAACAAGUCAACAUCAAUUUCUUUUGCUGUAAAAAAGCUUGAGGAAGGUGGCUUGAGAUUCGUCUUAAGUGUUUAUAGCCUCUUGCCUAUGCAGUCGGAGAGAUUGAGGUCUGCAGCGUAGAUCCUUCGGGGCUAAAUGCAUUUGUGCUAAGUUAUAGCAUUUUAUAGACAACUUGUUGACUAUGAUUUGUCUUGUAGCUUACUCGCUUAUGUUAUUUUACCUACGCUUAGGAUGUUGAAGAUGUAGCACAUCAU